ACAGGGUGGCAGUAACCACAAACAGUGUUACACUGGGACAAUUAGCGGUGCAGAGCAAAAUGUGCUCAUAAUCCGUGUUACUGGAGAAUGAGCAACAGUUGUCCUGCGUCGCUGAUUUCUCAGGAAUAUUUCUGAUAUUUUCAGUUACAGGUUUAUCUAUAUAUCUGCCAGUGGGGACCUAGCAGGGACCCGCUACAUAUUCACCCUAGCUUCCAUGUCUCCAGACUCAAACCUCUUCAAGCCUGUUCACUGGUUUGAGCUCUCUUUUGCUUGCCCUGCAUUGUUCUUACUACCUGUGCUCCGGACUAUUGGACAGUUGAUUAUUCUGUGUUUUUGCCUGCCCUGAAUUACCCUGCCUGCCUGUGUACCGGAUUAUGGACUGUCCAUUACUCUGUGUUUCUGCCUGCGCUGUAUUACCCGGCCUGCCUAUGUAGCAGAUUAUGGACUAUUUAUUACUCUGUGCUUUUGCCUGCCCUGCAUAACCCUGCCUGCUUGUGUACCAGAUUACUGUUCAUUACUCUUUGUUUCUGCCUGGCCUGCAUUGAUCUGCCUGCUUGUGUUAGAAUUACUGUGUUGCUCCGAUUAUCCGACUGUUAUCUGCCCAGUUCAUGCUUGAGCCAAGAGACUGCACCCCAACUGACAAAGCCUUUCCUCAUUGCCUGCUAAAAUAGAGCUAACACCUAGAGCUAAGAAAAGUGUAAUGUGGACCUCUCACCCAACACUGUGAGCAUCAUUUCACUUAAGAUUUAAUAAAAAGCACUUGUUUUCCACUACUCUCCCCACCUCAUGUGUGCUUUUUCAGUCAUUUAGCCUUUUGCCAUGUGCCUUUUGUUUACAUUUUGUUUUCACAUGUCUGCCCCGCCCUUGUCUUUUCCUUCCCGCCUUAGAACACCUGUCCUUUCUGUGUCUAAUUGUCUAGCUUAUUUAUUCAUGCCGUGUUGCUAAAUCCUUGUUUUUUGUUUUGUCUCUGUAUUGUUUUCUUUGUUUUUGUCAUGAUUUUUGAGUUUCAGUUUUGUUUUUUGUUUGUUGUUUUAUUUAGCUAUCCUGCAUUUCUGUCAAUUUAUCCACGGCAACACCCCGGUUUUCUGACAGAAGGAUUCCACCACUCCAGGACCCAGCGAGAUAGCCUCUAGCCUAGCACCGGCAAAUUGUGGGGGCAUUUUUAUUUUUUCGGAUAAUUCUUUCUGCCCUUUAAAACCCAACUUUUGUUUUUCUUUUUCGGUGGACAUCACUCCACAUAUGUUCCAGUGGGGGACGCCGCUCCGCAUCCUGUUUCCCGCAAAGGAUGCCACCUCACUUCUUGCCUGCAGAGGAAGUCACCAGCCUUAUUUUUGCUCUUUUUUUUUUUUUUUUGCGACAUCGCCCCAUACCUGUUCCGGUGGAGGACGCCGCCUCACUUCUUGUCCGCAGGGGGGUUAUUGCAGGACCGUGUGUUUGUCCUAUGUGGACAUCACUCAGCCAUUCUGCUCGGCUGUGGACGUUGCUCGGCCCCUCUGACUAUGCCGUCAGGUGCCUUGAUCCCCCCAGCUGCCUUGCCAUAUGCCUCGCUUGACCCACCUGCCUCACCACGUGCCUUGCUCCCCCUACCUGCGUUGCUCCCCCCUCCUGGAUCAUGGUUCCCUCUGAUAUUAUGACGGAUACAGGAUUGGCGCUUUGGGAGCCACGCCUCGAAGGGGGUACUCUCAGGAUCUAUGUAUCAGGAUUCACUUAUCUGCCCCGCCUUUGUCUAUUCCUUCCCACCUUAGCACCCCUGUCCCUUAUGUGUCUAAUUGUCUACUGUAUUUAUUCGUGCAGGGCUGCAAAUCCUUGUCUUUUGUUGUUACUGUAUUGAUUUCUUGGAUUGUGUUGUGUUGUGAUUUUUGAGUUUCGGGUUUUUUUGUUUGUUUAAUAAAUCUGUUUUAUUUAGCUA